rnacentral:tRNA from 1 species
AGUCUUAUAUUCAAAAAUGAUUUAAAAUUGCAAAUUUUAAGGAAUACUGCAUAAGUAUUAAGGCUU